CAAAACGAAAGUAAGAGUAGCGACAAAAACAAAAAUAUUGCUAAAAAAUUUCAACAUUUCCACAUAUAUUUUGUACACGAAACUUUGCAAUCAAUUUGUUCAUUGUAAAGCCUCAACCGUAAAUGUAAUAGAGGGUGAUGUUAGAGUUCGAAAAUUUUAAGGCAUUUAGUAUUUGAAGAAAACUUGGCAUAUUAGACUAUCGUCGCUGCGUCUAACAAACAUCAUCCUGUCGGUAAUUUCCCGACUACACCUGUUCCAAGUCGGCGAUAUCUCGCCAAUAGUCUGCUGAUCAAUCGUAGCUGUUUUAUCAGCAAGGACUUAUGGAAUAGUCAAAGCAGAGCAAAAGUUAGUCUCACAAACACAAAAUGCGAGACCUAGAAAGAGCUAAUUGACUGACGCCUUUUUUUUGAUAUGUUUCGAUUUUAAAGGAUUGAUAUAUGUACCAAUAAUCUUGUGGCUUUCAAACCGAUAGUAACUUUUUCUGGAUACAAGGAGUCUGGAGGAACAUAAUAUAAUUCGACUUUUUUACUCCAUUCCGUAGCUGUUAAGGCAACACCACUUUCCAUGGCAAUUUUUUAAAAUAUAGUGAACAUAAAUGUCAAACACCUGUCAAUACUUUGACAGCUAACCACCCUCUAGAAAAUAUUAUGGGUAAUUUUAUAGCUCUAAAAUAAACACCAUAUAUACAUAUCAGAUUAGAACAGAUUUGCACGCGAACACUCAUUGUCGUUAGAUGUGCAUAAAAAUGUUUGUAAAAAAAUAUGCAACAAGUUAAAUGAGGAAGUAAGCGAUCGUUUAGCUAAUUAAAGUCACAGACAAAUGUAAAAAAAUCAAAAUUAGCAC